rnacentral:rRNA from 1 species
GAUGAACGCUGGCGGCGUGCCUAAUACAUGCAAGUCGAGCGAACAGACGAGGAGCUUGCUCCUCUGACGUUAGCGGCGGACGGGUGAGUAACACGUGGAUAACCUACCUAUAAGACUGGGAUAACUUCGGGAAACCGGAGCUAAUACCGGAUAAUAUAUUGAACCGCAUGGUUCAAUAGUGAAAGACGGUUUUGCUGUCACUUAUAGAUGGAUCCGCGCCGCAUUAGCUAGUUGGUAAGGUAACGGCUUACCAAGGCAACGAUGCGUAGCCGACCUGAGAGGGUGAUCGGCCACACUGGAACUGAGACACGGUCCAGACUCCUACGGGAGGCAGCAGUAGGGAAUCUUCGGCAAUGGGCGCAAGCCUGACGGAGCAACGCCGCGUGAGUGAUGAAGGUCUUCGGAUCGUAAAACUCUGUUAUUAGGGAAGAACAAAUGUGUAAGUAACUAUGCACGUCUUGACGGUACCUAAUCAGAAAGCCACGGCUAACUACGUG